AUGUGCAGAGCGGUGCCGUCGUCUCCAGCCCUCGGCAUCAAGGCUCAGCUGAGAGAGUUCAUGGGAAGUCCAAUUGCUGUGAUAAGCCUGACAUGGUUAACAAGACAUCUAAUACAAUCGUGGAGGAUAGUAGAGAACAUGGCAACAAAACCAAGAAAUGGAGAAAGAAGUGGCGCCAGGAGGCAGUGUGUAAACAAACGAGAGAGCUAGCAGCAUGACUGUGUGAGCCAUUGGCGGAGAACGGGAGUUACGGUUCAGCAAAUCUGAAUUCCUCCUGCUGUACAGUCUGGAUUUUACUGAGCCGUAUUCUUUCCACUGUCUCCUGUAAGUUGAGCAUCUUUAAAGCAGACUUUGAAAGCAAACUGGCUUGCACCAGCUCCUGCCCACUGGGGCAGUGGAGCAAAGGAAAGCACAGCUCCUUCUGGUAGCUCCCUGCCCUUGGGGAGAUGUAGGUCACAUCAGGGCAACGGAGCUGCGCGGAGGCCAGUGCCGCUCAGGGUCAGCACCGAGCUCCUGCACUGUUGCCCCAGGCUCCUGGCCAUGCCCAAGGGGAGAAGGGCAUUUGGUGGGGGGAGUAGAGCAGAAGGGGAAAGGAGGUUUGCUGGAACCACACUGUGCUUUAGAAGGUGCUCUCACAGCUGAGAAGCUCAGUGCAAAACCAAGAGCCUUAUCUGCGUGCAGAAGCAUCCUCCUUGCCCCCUGAAACAUCAUUGUCCUUACAAGAGCUCAGUGUGGCAGACACUGAAAUUCAAGCUGCUUUUUGGGAAGAAGUGAUUCCUUUCUAAAUGGCAACUGAAAAAAAAGAAGAAGAAGAAGAAGAAGAAGAAGAAAACCCCCAUUUUAAGCAUUAAGAAGAAAACAUUUAUUUUAAUGGUAAUUUUUCUCUUUACUCUAUACCAUCUAAAAAUGCUAAGCAAUGUUGCCGCUCCCUCCUAAAGGUGUGAUGAAGCCUAGUAGCACAGAACAGGUAGGGGACUUUUCAACUACAGACCUGGCUGUUUUGCAGUUUCAUAGCUGUCUAAAGGAGAGUGCCUUUAUGAGAAGAAAUAUCACACAGCUACAGGAGUGGCUGCCUUGUUUGUUCCAACGCCUAACGCUUAUUUGAAGGAUUAACUCAGUCAUUCCUUAUUCCCAUUUUCACUUCUAAUGCGUUUCUGUUUGUGUAUCUUCCAACAGAACAUACUGUGCUUCUGUUUAACUGUCUAUUUAU
rnacentral:lncRNA from 1 species